rnacentral:lncRNA from 1 species
UAUUUGUUUUGGAACAGUUCCUUCGAAUGGUCUCUCCAGAUCUUCAAAUAUGGAUAAAGGAGCGUAACCCCAGCUCCGCCGCUGAAGCUGCUUCCCUGGCAGAUGUCUCCGGCACAAAGCACAGGCCUGGACGUAUGGCCAAUGGCGAGAAAGUAGAGACUUCAGGAAGCCCUAUCGGCCUCCUCAGCCGCCCAUGAGGACCAACAGUGAGGGUAAGUUUGCCGGUGAUAGGGGUGGUCCGACCAAACAGAGCCCUACUUUUAGGUCUAGUGGCCCCAGGAUUCUUGUGUGUUUUCAGUGUGGACAGGAAGGCCAUGCAAGACCGCAAUGCCCCAAUAAUCCAGCUAACCAAGCUAAUGUCUGCACUGUACCUAGACCUAGUUUUCCAAAUAGGCCGAUAGCGCCCCAUUGUUGCACAGUAGUCUUGAAUGGACGGGAGGUUAGGGCACUAGUGGACACCGGGAGCAUGCAGUCGCUAGUUUCCUCUGACUUAGUUCCAAUAGAGGGUAGGAAUUACUCUGUGGUGACCAGACUGCGAUGUGUGCAUGGGGAGGAAAGACCGUAUCCAACAGCUUCGGUAUAUGUGAAGGUUCAGGGACAGCCUUAUUUCUUGGAAGUGGGUGUGGUAGAUGAUUUGCCAUAUCCAGUGAUUUUGGGCCAAGAUUUUCCACUUUUGUUAGAUCUGGCAGUGGCUAAGAAAGACUGUAACCUGGCUCUAACACGGGCCAUGGCUAAGCAGGGUGAGGUGGAGCUACCACUCUCUGCAUUGCCUUUCUAUAAUGCCGACAUAGAGGCUCAGCCAGGUAAGACAAGGAAGUCUAAAAGGCAGAGGAGACAUGAUAAAUUACAAUUUGGAGCCGCCCACAUGGAGGAAUUUGGUGUGGAGCAGCUUAGGGCACCUUUAGGAAUCCCUCAGGACAUUGGGGCAAUGCAGCAGCAAGACCCAGAUAUUGGCUUGUUAUAUCAGCAGGCUCAGGGGGAAAGACCGCUUAGUCAGACUAAUAAGCCAGGGGAUAGUUUCUCUGUAAGUAAUGGGGUGUUGUACAAAGGAGAUGGUUCAGAGGCAAGGAUGGUAGUUUCUCAGAAGGCUAGAGGUGUAGUCC